rnacentral:rRNA from 1 species
CGGACGGGUGAGUAAUGCUUGGGAAUCUGGCUUAUGGAGGGGGAUAACUACGGGAAACUGUAGCUAAUACCGCGUAGUAUCGAGAGAUGAAAGACUGGGACCGCAAGGCCAGUUGCCAUAAGAUGAGCCCAAGUGGGAUUAGGUAGUUGGUGGGGUAAAGGCCUACCAAGCCGACGAUCCCUAGCUGGUCUGAGAGGAUGACCAGCCACACUGGAACUGAGACACGGUCCAGACUCCUACGGGAGGCAGCAGUGGGGAAUAUUGCACAAUGGGGGGAACCCUGAUGCAGCCAUGCCGCGUGAAUGAAGAAGGCCUUCGGGUUGUAAAGUUCUUUCGGUGAUGAGGAAGGGUGGUGUUUUAAUAGAGCACUACAUUGACGUUAGUCACAGAAGAAGCACCGGCUAACUCCGUGCCAGCAGCCGCGGUAAUACGGAGGGUGCGAGCGUUAAUCGGAAUGACUGGGCGUAAAGGGCACGCAGGCGGUGACUUAAGUGAGAUGUGAAAGCCCCGAGCUUAACUUGGGAAUUGCAUUUCAUACUGGGUUGCUAGAGUAUUUUAGGGAGGGGUAGAAUUCCACGUGUAGCGGUGAAAUGCGUAGAGAUGUGGAGGAAUACCGA